AUUGAACGCUGGCGGCAGGCCUAACACAUGCAAGUCGAGCGGAGCGGCGGACGGGUGAGUAAUGCCUAGGAAUCUGCCUGGUAGUGGGGGAUCACGUCCGGCAAAGGGCGCUAAUACAGCAUACUAUCAGAUGAGCCUAGGUCGGAUUAGCUAGUUGGUGGGGUAAAGGCCUACAAGGGCGACGAUCCGUAACUGGUCUGGGAGGAUGAUCAGUCACACUGGAACUGAUACACGGUCCAGACUCCCACGGUAGGCAGCAGUGGGGAAUAUUGGACAAUGUGCGAAAGCCGGAUCCAGCCCUGCCGCGUGUGUGAAGAAGGUCUUCGGAUUGUAAAGCACUUUAAGUUGGGAGGCGUUACCAACAGAAUAAGCACCUGCUAACUUCGUGCCAGCAGCCGCGGUAAUAC
rnacentral:rRNA from 1 species